rnacentral:rRNA from 1 species
UACGUAGGGGGCGAGCGUUGUCCGGAUUUAUUGGGCGUAAAGAGCGUGUAGGCGGCCAGGUAGGUCUGCUGUGAAAACUCGAGGCUCAACCUCGAGACGUCGGCGGAAACCAUCUGGCUAGAGUCCGGAAGAGGAGAGUGGAAUUCCUGGUGUAGCGGUGGAAUGCGCAGAUAUCAGGAGGAACACCGAUGGCGAAGGCAGCUCGCUGGGACGGUACUGACGCUGAGGCGCGAAAGCGUGGGGAGCGAACAGG